UUGUCUCAAAGAUUAAGCCAUGCAUGUCUCAGUACAAGCCACAUUAAGGUGAAACCGCGAAAGGCUCAUUAAAUCAGUUAUGGUUCCUUAGAUCGUACCCACACUUACUUGGAUAACUGUGGUAAUUCUAGAGCUAAUACAUGCAAACAGAGCUCCGAUCGGAGACGAAGGAGCGCUUUUAUUAGAUCAAAACCAAUCGGUGGCGGGUUCGCUCGUCAUCGUAUAACUUGGUGACUCUGAAUAACUUUAAGCUGAUCGCACGGUCUCGCACCGGCGACACAUCUUUCAAAUGUCUGCCUUAUCAACUGUCGAUGGUAGGUUCUGCGCCUACCAUGGUUGUAACGGGUAACGGGGAAUCAGGGUUCGAUUCCGGAGAGGGAGCCUGAGAAACGGCUACCACAUCCAAGGAAGGCAGCAGGCGCGCAAAUUACCCACUCCCGGCACGGGGAGGUAGUGACGAAAAAUAACGAUACGGGACUCAUCCGAGGCCCCGUAAUCGGAAUGAGUACACUCUAAACCCUUUAACGAGGAUCAAUUGGAGGGCAAGUCUGGUGCCAGCAGCCGCGGUAAUUCCAGCUCCAAUAGCGUAUAUUAAAGUUGUUGCGGUUAAAAAGCUCGUAGUCGAAUUUGUGUCCCGCGCCGCCGGUUCAUCGUCCGCGGUGUUAACUGGCGUGCCGCGGGACGUCCUGCCGGUGGGCUUAGCUCUCCGGGGCGGCCCAACUCAAUCCCGCCGCGGUGCUCUUCACUGAGUGUCGAGGUGGGCCGGCACGUUUACUUUGAACAAAUUAGAGUGCUUAAAGCAGGCUAAAACUUCGCCUGAAUACUGUGUGCAUGGAAUAAUGGAAUAGGACCUCGGUUCUAUUUUGUUGGUUUUCGGAACUCCGAGGUAAUGAUUAAUAGGAACGGAUGGGGGCAUUCGUAUUGCGACGUUAGAGGUGAAAUUCUUGGAUC
rnacentral:rRNA from 1 species